GACGAACGCUGGCGGCGUGCUUAACACAUGCAAGUCGAGCGGUAAGGCCCUUUCGGGGGUACACGAGCGGCGAACGGGUGAGUAACACGUGGGUGACCUGCCCUCCAGCUCUGGGAUAAGCCUGGGAAACCGGGUCUAAUACCGGAUAUGACUCCAUGACGCAUGUUGUGGGGUGGAAAGCCUUGUGCGGCUGAGGAUGGGCCCGCGGCCUAUCAGCUUGUUGGUGGGGUGAUGGCCUACCAAGGCGACGACGGGUAGCCGGCCUGAGAGGGCGACCGGCCACACUGGGACUGAGACACGGCCCAGACUCCUACGGGAGGCAGCAGUGGGGAAUCUUGCGCAAUGGGCGAAAGCCUGACGCAGCGACGCCGCGUGAGGGAUGACGGCCU
rnacentral:rRNA from 1 species